rnacentral:misc_RNA from 1 species
GAAUUUCUUGUACACUCGAAAAAAUUCAAACAAGAUAUAGAUAGAAGAUUGUGUAGAACAUUGUGCGUGCACUUGAGAAUUGAACCAUUGACAAAUACAGUCUUCGAAGAAUCUGUUUGAAAGAGAUAACGCGUAUCAAUUGAUAUAGCAAUAUCAAAUUCCCGAUUGGCAUGAAUUACAUACGGUUUAUCGGUACAGUUCGUACAGUUGUUGCAUACAGUUUGUCAUGGGUAAUUUUUUGACUCGUUUUAAACAUUUUUUCUCAACCGACCAUAUCCUUGACGAGGAGACGAUCGCCACUUACGUAGAGUUAACAUAUUUGAAGAAGAACGAAAUACAGCACGUAAUCAAUCUACUCGACAAUGUAAAUCCUGGAAAACUUCGUCAGAAUCCUCAUCAUCGGUUCACCAUUGAGGAAAUCGAGACAAUAUUGCCGCAACUUCAAUGUAGUCCAUUUCGUGACUCCAUAUACCGAGUAUUCUCUUCGAAGAAAGACGAACGAUUGAGCUUGGAAGAUGUUCUAGACUUGUGCUCGGCCUUCUCUGAAUAUUGCCCCGACAAUGUUCGCGCCACUUGGGCGUUUUACGUGUUUGAUUUGAACGGCGACGGUGAAAUCUCGUCGAACGAUUUAAUCGAAACUGUGCAGAGGCUGAUGUGGCCCCACUACGAGGGCAUUGAUACGGCCGAGGCGGAACACGUCGCGCGAAUAUCUCUGCGUAUAUGGACUUAACCUCAAACUCGUCGAUACACCACGUGUAAACAAAGUCGUUUAGUCGAAAUAGUCAAAUAUCACGAAGAAAAAGAAUAGAUAAAAGAAAAUUUGUUCGUUCACAUUUAAGAAAAGAUUAAUGAUUGUAUCGUGAAUGAUGUGAAUGACAAUAUGGAAUUUCUGAAAAUUAUAUUUAUAACUGUUAUAUUUUCGGAUCAUGACUCGAUGAAUUAUAUAUCGUUGGAAUUUCGAUAGAGCCGAUUGAUGCAUAUGAAAUUUCAUCGAACAACGCUGCGCUGAACAUUAAAGAAGCUAAUUAAAUCUGAUACUUCAAGAGAUGGUGUUCAAUCGACAGGGAAGCAUUUCCUGCGAAGAAUUUAUACGUUUCUCGUCGAGAAUUUCAGAAUUCUGGUCAUCGUUUCGCUUUAAAAUUUAAUUACGCUUACAUCAUGUAAUUUAUUUCUGUAAUUUCGAUAUUCGUAUCAAAGCAAACGAAUAACUUUAUACCUGGAAUUUCAUAC